rnacentral:rRNA from 1 species
CCAAGCUACAAAGGGCCAACGGUGGAUGCCUUGGCGUCUACUACCGAUGAAGGACGUGGGAGGCUGCGAAAAGCCUCGGGAAGUCGCCGACCAGACUGUGAUCCGAGGAUGUCCGAAUGGGGAAACCCACUACCCGUCAUGGGGUAGUACUCCCGCCUGAACACAUAGGGCGGCGAGAGGGAACCGGGUGAAUUGAAACAUCUCAGUAACCCGAGGAAAGGAAAGUAACAACGACUCCGUAAGUAGCGGCGAGCGAACGCGGAUGAGCCUAAACCUGGCUGGUGUGAUAGCCCAGCAGCGUUGCCAACCAGGGGUCGUGGGACCAAAUAGAGAAGGGCUGGCCUUCUCACAGAGUUACAAACGUGCUGUGUAGUGGAACCGUCUGGAAAGUCGGACCGCAGCGGGUAACAGUCCCGUACACGAAACAUAUGCACACUCUGAUUUGUGCUCCCGAGUAACGCCGGAUCCGGGAAAGCCGGCGUGAAUCCACGAGGACCACCUCGUAAGGCUAAGUAUACGUAGACGACCGAUAGUGCACUAGUACCGUGAGGGAAAGGUGAAAAGUACCCCGGGAGGGGAGUGAAAUAGUACCUGAAACCGUUGGCCUACAAGCAGUCAGAGCGUCGCCAUGGACUUGUCCAUGGUCGUGAUGGCGUGCCUUUUGAAGAAUGAGCCAACGAGUUACGGUGUGUGGCAAGGUUAACCCGUGAGGGGAAGCCGGAGCGAAAGCGAGUCUGAACAGGGCGUUCAGUCGCAUGCUGUAGACCCGAAGCCGGGUGAUCUAUCCAUGGGCAGUGUGAAGCGGGGGUAAGACUCCGUGGAGGCGCGAACCGACCUCGGUUGAAAACGGGGCGGAUGACCUGUGGAUAGGGGUGAAAGGCCAAGCAAACCCGGUGAUAGCUGGUUCUCCGCGAAAUGUAUUUAGGUACAGCGUCGCAUGUUCAUCGAUGGAGGUAGAGCACUGAAUAGGCUAGGGGGCCCACAAGCUUACUGACCCUAAUCAAACUCCGAAUGCCAUCGAUCUAGAGUGCGGCAGUGAGACCCCGGGGGAUGAGCUUCGGGGUCGAAAGGGAAACAGCCCAGACCGUCGGCUAAGGCCCCAAAAUUCACACUAAGUGGUAAACGAUGUGGGAUUGCAUAGACAGCCAGGAGGUUGGCUUAGAAGCAGCCACCCUUGAAAGAGUGCGUAAUAGCUCACUGGUCGAGUGAUCCUGCGCGGACAAUGUAACGGGGCUCAAGUGUGAUGCCGAAGCCACGGGUUCGCCUUUCGAGGCGAGCGGUAGCGGAGCGUCGAUCUCGCGGUGAAGCGGCAGGGGAACCUGUCGUGGAGCGUGGUCGAGUGAGAAUGUUGGCAUGAGUAGCGAAAGAGGAGUGAGAAGCUCCUCCGCCGAAUAUCCAAGGGUUCCUGGGCAAGGCUAAUCCUCCCAGGGUAAGUCGGGAGCUAAGGCGAGGCCGAGAGGCGUAGUCGAUGCACAACCGGUUGAUAUUCCGGUACCACCGUGUCCGCGCCCAUUCCAAUUCAGAGUUGCUAAGGGGAUGCCCGGAGGUUUACUUCCGGUACGAUCCGACCCACUCCGAGGCGGAAAGCUGUAGGGGGACGCAGGAAGGUAGGUGAUCCCAGGCGAUGGUUGUCCUGGGGUAAGCGUGUAGGGAGAAGGUUAGGCAAAUCCGACCUUCAUAUAUCCUGAGACGCGAUACCGAAGCCGUAUGGCCUAAGUCACUGAUCCUAUGCUGCCAAGAAAAGCCUAGCAGCGAGUUGGCACGGUGCCCGUACCCCAAACCAACACAGGUGGAUAGGUAGAGAAUACCAAGGCGAUUGGGAGAACUGUGGUUAAGGAACUCGGCAAAAUGCAUGCGUAACUUCGGGAUAAGCAUGACCUCGUUAGGGUGAAGGGACUUGCUCCCGGAGCUCGAAGAGGUGGCACAGAAUUGGGGGAAGCGACUGUUUACUAAAAACACAGCAGCGUGCGAAGCCGAAAGGCGCUGUAUACGCUGUGACGCCUGCCCAAUGCUGGAAGGUCACGGGGAAGGGUUAGCCCUAGGGCGAAGCUCUGAACCUAAGCCCCAGUGAAUGGCGGCCGUAACUAUAACGGUCCUAAGGUAGCGAAAUUCCUUGUCGGGUAAGUUCCGACCUGCACGAAUGGCGUAACGACUUCCCUACUGUCUCAACCACAGACCCAGCGAAAUUGAAGUACGAGUAAAGAUGCUCGUUAGCUGUAGAAGGACGGAAAGACCCCGUGGACCUUUACUAUAGCUUGAUAUUGAGUCUUGUCAUGCGUUGUGUAGGAUAGGUGGGAGGCUAGGAAGCAUGCACGCCAGUGUGUGUGGAGCCACCCUUGAAAUACCACCCUGCGUAUGGCGGGACUCUCACCCUGACCCGUUAUCCGGGCCGGGGACAGUGUCAGGUGGGUAGUUUGACUGGGGCGGUCGCCUCCUAAAGAGUAACGGAGGCGCCCAAAGGUUCCCUCAGGCUGGUUGGCAAUCAGCCGUCGAGUGCAAUGGCACAAGGGAGCUUGACUGCGAGACAUACACGUCGAGCAGGUGCGAAAGCAGGGCAUAGUGAUCCGGCGGUUGCGUGUGGAAGCGCCGUCGCUCAACGGAUAAAAGGUACCCCGGGGAUAACAGGCUAAUCUUCCCCAAGAGUCCAUAUCGACGGGAAGGUUUGGCACCUCGAUGUCGGCUCAUCGCAUCCUGGGGCUGAAGCAGGUCCCAAGGGUUGGGCUGUUCGCCCAUUAAAGCGGUACGCGAGCUGGGUUUAGAACGUCGUGAGACAGUUCGGUCCCUAUCCUCUACAGCCGGAAGUGACUUGAGAAAAGCUGUCCCUAGUACGAGAGGACCGGGAUGGACGCAGCUCUCGUGUGCCAGUUGUCCUGCCAAGGGCAUGGCUGGUUAGCGACCUGCGGGCGAGAUAACCGCUGAAAGCAUCUAAGCGGGAAGCUCCUUUCAAGAUGAGGUCACUCACAGGGUCAACCUGGUAAGGCCCGUGGUAGACCACCACGUUGAUAGGCCGGAAGUGUAAGCGCGGUAACGCGUUCAGCUGACCGGUACUAAUCGGCCGAGGGCUUGGUUUC